rnacentral:rRNA from 1 species
UACGUAGGUCCCGAGCGUUGUCCGGAUUUAUUGGGCGUAAAGCGAGCGCAGGUGGUUUAUUAAGUCUGGUGUAAAAGGCAGUGGCUCAACCAUUGUAUGCAUUGGAAACUGGUAGACUUGAGUGCAGGAGAGGAGAGUGGAAUUCCAUGUGUAGCGGUGAAAUGCGUAGAUAUAUGGAGGAACACCGGUGGCGAAAGCGGAUUACUGGACGAUAACUGACGGUGAGGCGCGAAAGCGUGGGGAGCAAACAGG